AGAACGAACGCUGGCGGCGUGCCUAAUACAUGCAAGUCGAACGAACACUUCGGUGUUAGUGGCGCACGGGUGCGUAACGCGUGGGAAUCUGCCCUUGGGUUCGGAAUAACAGUUGGAAACGACUGCUAAUACCGGAUGAUAUCGAAAGAUCAAAGAUUUAUCGCCCAGGGAUGAGCCCGCGUAGGAUUAGCUAGUUGGUGAGGUAAAGGCUCACCAAGGCGACGAUCCUUAGCUGGUCUGAGAGGAUGAUCAGCCACACUGGGACUGAGACACGGCCCAGACUCCUACGGGAGGCAGCAGUAGGGAAUAUUGGACAAUGGGCGCAAGCCUGAUCCAGCAAUGCCGCGUGAGUGAUGAAGGCCUUAGGGUUGUAAAGCUCUUUACCCGAGAUGAUAAUGACAGUAUCGGAGAAUAAGCCCGGCUAACUCCGUGCCAAGCAGCCGC
rnacentral:rRNA from 1 species